GAGAUUCAGCUGCUGAAUCAGGCUGAAUCUCCUCCAAAUCAAAUUGGCUACUGAAGCUUCACAGAGCCCUACGGUUCACCAUUCAUUACAGGAUUUCACCCCAUCUCCUCAUCCUGAAGUAUUCAUCCAAGAGCCAGAAAAGACAGCAUUUUUGGCAGUUUUGUGCUGAAGCAAGUUUCCUCUGACUGCAAGGAAGUCACUGCCCAAAUAUCACAAGGAUGUAUUUGUUGUUGUCUGAUGUACAGCAGAACUCAAAGGUAUGCAAAAUAUAUCCAGGAUUGUAUCUCCCAUCACAGAAAUACACCCACUUCUUGGCUGAAAUGGUUGGAAAAACACCGAAUACCAUUACCAGCCACUUAGGACACCUAAGACAUACUAAUUGCUGAAAGCAUCACCCCACAUUAAGAACAUUAAAAGAUUCCUGCUACCCAGAACAGGAACUGUAGACUAAACAUUCCUGAUUACCAGAGGUGCCGAGUACCUGUAACUCCACUUGAAUCCCGGGAGAGCUGCAGCAUCCCAUAAUUUGUAAAAGUAGGCCUUAUACUGUAUCAAUGGUGAUUUCUAAAUUUAGAGGAUUCUCCAUGUGUGUUGCAGGAUGGUGGGCUCAAAUUUCUGAGGGAUGGUCUUGCCCAUUUAGGAUUAGUCCUAUAACCUUCAAACUAGUCAUCUCUGCUUUGUUGUAGCAUAAUUAAUUCAGUAAUUAUUCAUUGCAAUUCUUGUAUUUGCUGUUGCUUUUUGUUUUUAUAUUUUUUAAACUGUAAAAUGAUUUGCCAACUUUUGGAAGUACAGACAUAGCCUGGGGACCCCUGUCAGUUGGGCAUAGCCCCAACAUCAAAAGAUAUUAUCAUUGUAUAAAAUUGCCAGGUGGCAAAUACUAUUUA